rnacentral:rRNA from 1 species
UGAGGGAAUAUUGGGUCAAUGGGCGAGAGCCUGAACCAGCCAAGUAGCGUGCAGGAUGACGGCCCUAUGGGUUGUAAACUGCUUUUAUGCGGGGAUAAAGCGGGCGACGUGUCGCCCCUUGCAGGUACCGCAUGAAUAAGGACCGGCUAAUUCCGUGCCAGCAGCCGCGGUAAUACGGAAGGUCCGGGCGUUAUCCGGAUUUAUUGGGUUUAAAGGGAGCGUAGGCUGGAGAUUAAGCGUGUUGUGAAAUGCCGCGGCUCAACCGUGGCACUGCAGCGCGAACUGGUUUCCUUGAGUGCGCUGAAAGUGGGCGGAAUUUGUGGUGUAGCGGUGAAAUGCUUAGAUAUCACGAAGAACUCCGAUUGCGAAGGCAGCUGACAAGGCUACAACUGACGCUAAAGCUCGAAAGUGCGGGUAUCGAACAGGAUUAGAUACCCUGGUAGU